ensembl:lncRNA
GGGAGAUGAUUGCAGAGGAACCUGCUGCUCAUUUGUAGCGUGAAACCACGCAGCUCCUCCUCUGGCUGCCACUGUGCUCCUGCUUAUAGGGCAGCUACUCAGCUCAUCUGUGUUUACCCUAAAGAUGGGGGGCAGGCGUAACCUUUCUGUACACCCAGCGUGAAGUGGCUUACCCCUCCGUGAAACUCAGGUGAGCUGCUUCUCUGCCGACUGCAAACUGGGAGCAUCUUCACGGGGAACUUUUCCGCUGAAAUCAAAGUGAAACUUCACCCUGGGCUUUCUUAUUGCUGCCUCCUGAGUCACCACAUCCUUCUCUUGUCACCACCACCUUUCUGUUUAGAAAGUGAUAAUGAGACGCAGUGUUCAGCAGUGAGAACUGGGUCUGUGUGCGAGGAAUGAAUUUACAGAGGGGUUAAAAUUCGCUCUUUGAAAGCAGAGAGCACCAAAAGGUCCACCUGGGGAGUCAGUUGUUGGCGUGCUGCAGUUUUACAGUGCUUCCCUACAUUUCUUGUGGAGACAAGCCCCAAGGAAUCUGAAGACUUGGCUUAUUUUCCUGAUCCUGCAACAGAUCCUGCCUUGCCCGGCUAUGGGGCUUAGCAGCAGGGCAAAGAAGAGGAGCUGGGAAGAGAAGGAGGAGAGGCCAGGCUUCUCCAGGUGGAGAGCCUUGCUGUUUCCCACCCCGUGUCUCUUUGUCUCUCACUCUACUAUCUCCUGGAGUUGGCAACAAGUUAAUGUGACUCGGGAGCCAGAAGAGUUCAGCUCAAAGCAGCUGCAGAAAAAAAGCAUCCUGCUGCAGAAGAGCCAAUGGCCCUGGGAACAGACUGCUUUUAUAAAAAGCCUUACGAGAGCCAGAUGCCCCCUACCCUGACAAAGACUGAUCAGGUGGCUGCUGGUAUCGCCUUUCACUGCUCUUUGGCAAGGGUGGAAACACAGAAUGAUGGUGAGUUUUCAGGUGGAGAUGUAUUUUAUUUUUGCUUCGGUGAUGCAGAUGGAAAGAGUCGUUCCAUGCUAAGCAGCGCCGGCGUAGGGACAAAAAGGAGGACUAUGGGUGUCUAGGAGCAUGCAUGCAAUUACUGUAAUUCUCACACACAGGGUGCCAUGGAUUUAUGCUUUGUGAGAGGUCAGGUCAGAUCAUCAGCAUGGAAAAUAAAUCCAUUGGAUGUAUCUCCCGGGGGGUGCAGGAGGCUGUGCUGCAAGUCUCUUGGCACGGGGUGAGUUUUGGACGGGCAAUCACUUUGCAGAUCGGAGAAGGGAGGAAUCCACGUUGAGCCGAGCCGCAAGUCUUUGCAGAACCAAAGCACUGAUUCUUCCUGCAACAGCUCUUGGGUCGCUUCUGAGCCGGGUGGGAAGUCGGGGUGUUUCUUCAAAAUGACACAUAGGGUUUGCAGAGAUUAUUCACACCCUUUAUUGCAGGGUUGCAACAAAAUCCCCCUCUUUUUCCUUCCCUCUCUCAUAAUCUGGAUCCUGCUCACACCGGUACCUAACACGCAUCUCAUGAAUUAUUUGGGGGAUGAAACAGAAACUCCCUGCCCAAUCCAGCAGCCUGAUAGGUUUUUAUCUCAAGAUGAUGAUGAUGUUUAUUUUGAUGUUUAUUUUUGUACCUUUGUAAAUGCCGAGAGAUGCGACACGACUCCAACCCUAAACUCUCUCCCACUUCACUUUCAGGCAGUCCCCCAGCACUUCCCCACCCGAGCGGCCGCAGCAGGUGAUCCGCGGAGGAAGAGGAGGAUGAAGCCCGGCGUGCGAGCCAGCCCCGCCGGCUGCCGAGUGCCACCAGAGGGUGCUGCGCCGUACCGCCGGCCGGCAGGGACGGAUGGGAACGGGAGGGAUGCGAGAGGGACGCGGGAGGCUGCGGCCCCAGCCAGCUCCCUGCCUGCCAGCUCCUGCUGUGGUUGCCAGGCUGCUUGGUUUGGUUGCCCCGCAGCUAGCUAGUUCCGUCUGAUGGACCUCAGCUCCCUCUGGAGAAAACAAACGUUUGUGGCCGUGUUGAUGUGCAAGGAGGAAAACAUCGACACCGCAGAUAACGUGGUUGGUACGUCUCGAGACAGCGUAUGUAGAAGACAGCAUUUAAAAGGGUUGGUUUAUUAACUUUGCGCUCCCGUGCCGUAACCAGCCGCCCUUUAGGGAGACAGAAUUAGCCUCUCUUUAGCAGAAGGCAUCACAUCCCUCUGCUUAUGUCCCGUGCCGCUGCUCCCCCCAGCAGCCGCACUCCUCGGUGCCUGCUGUCCCACACGUCCGGGGCUGCUGUACAGAGCGCUCCUUAUACAGACGUCUCUUGGCAUGGAGGCGCUCCCCGGGAGCACGACUGUAGGUUGAAAUUCUGCCUUCUUGGAAUAAGCAAAUGCCAGGGGUUUAUUUCCUAUUAAGCUAGCAGAUAGUUUGUGCAUUUAGCCGCAGUUUGCUGUCUCCAACCAGAUACGGGUGGAUCCUUCUUGUUUUCCUUCCUCUUUAUAUUUCCAGCCUGGGAAACAGCAAAAAGUUUGUGCAAAAGCAACAUCUGUGGGAGAGAGAGAGAGAAAAGGAUGAGGCAGGCUGGCCCGGCAGCCAGCCUCAGGAGAUGGUAAGACAGAAGAGCUAUUCAUUGUGAGAGGCAGUUGCUCCUCACCCUGCUAGACUAUAAAUUGGACACCUUAUUAAGAGCUGAUCCUCCAACAGCCCCACCCCGGGCUGUGCUCACGCUCCGGACUAGAGGAACGCAAUCCCGUUUCGCUCUGGGUGCCCGCUGUGGGGUGAGCACAUGUGUGAGCAGGACAGAGGACACGAGGCAGAAGGAAGCAGCACACUUUUUGAUUUGUGGGUCGUCAGCUUAGGAAAACAAGGCAAACUUUUGGGAGGCAGCAGGGAGGAGGUUGGAUGGCAGCGAAGUUUGGGCUCUCACCCUAUGAUGCGCUGGUUGCCUUAGCAAAUAAUGGAAGCAGUAUUACAUUUUUUUCCUUUUUUUUUUAAACUUGUUUUCUCAGUUGUAACUUAAAAAUGCUGACUCACUGGCACUGUGUGCCAACACAAAUGUUGCUGCGGAAAUCAAUCAUCAUGAGAGCCUGGCGAGAUAUAACCCCACAGUGGCGCAGGCUUUGAAUGGGCCUCUUUGGUCAUUCCAAGUUUCUUCUUCAGACAAUUCGCCCGGAAACUUCCUUCUUGUCAGGUGAGCCCAAAGGUCUGAGCAGACUCACGCAGAUGUCACGUUGAAUGGUUGCUGUGGUGAAAAAUUCACAGGAAUGUGAGGUUAACAAAUUCAUCAGUUGUAUCAUCCUUGGCAAGACUUCUGAGCUUUCCAGCCUUUGCGCACCUUUAACCAUUUGAAAGGUUCUUGGGCUUGCAUUUGAAGUGCACAAGCUAUUGCCAGCUGCUGUCAGAAAUAAAUAUCUUUAUGUAUUCUUCAGAGCUUGUUUUUGUGCUGAAGAAAGCAGGAUGGAUCACAGGCCUUUUGUACUGUUCUGAACAUUAUUCCUGCUCAGACAUUCAUGUUUUUCCUUCCACGUGAAACCGAUUGGAGGAGUCAUGCAACACUAGAUGUGUUGGGAGGAGUCUGCAUUUUCAGAGCAUCUGCUCGUUGAUUUCUCUGCUGAGGUUCCUCUGUUUUAUUUUCCUUGGCAGGCCAUUUAAACAUAGUUAGAUAUAUUGCAACUGAGCGGUGGUCAGGUAAUUCAAAGUAACAUGGAAAUGUGACCUUCAUACAUGCCUCCCCGCUCCUCGGGUAGCACUAAGAUACAGGUGCAUUUCAAUAGCAUCUCCUAGAAUUGCUGACUUCAGUUGCAUCUCAUAUAAUUGAAAAACAGCCUUUGUAUUUCCUUUAGGAGGAAAUACAUUUUUUUUCAGAUCUGAAAAAUCUAGGAUAUUGCUGUGGCUCAUUUGAAAAUGGCCGCGUGAUUCUCUAGGUUGUGAUUGCCUGACUGUCGCUGGUGUAUUGGAAGGCAUUGGCUGACAAGAUGUUCCUGGAUACCUUAAUUUGUGUGCCUCAGAUGACUUUACAUGCUUAUAAAAAUGAGCACAAAGCAUCUUCAGCGUUUCUCUCACUUUUCUUCUCCUACAUUCUACUUGAGGGACUUCUUAGUUUUGCCAAUGAUUUUGUUUCCCAAUAAAACAGCGUGUCUGAAUUCAUGCUCUGUGUAUAAGUCCAUGUAUGUGAUUCCACUGUGCCCUAACCUCUCCAAAAGUGUGGGCCUGCUGGUUGAUUUUGGCUGAAUUUGGCAAAAUAAUUGAGAUUUCAAACUGAAGUUCCAAAAUGUUUUAAAAAGAAGGGCUAGGUAGGCACAGGAGAGGGCUUUUUUUGUGCUAGAGACAUCCUGGUGCUGUCAGCUCAGAUCACCUUUUACCACGUACCAGUGAAGCUGCCAUGGAAUGGGCCCUUGGAAAUCAGUCUUCAACACAUCUGUCAGACGUGGAUUAGUUGUUAGUACUGGUUGUUUUGGUACAGUUAGAAUAGAGGAGGGGAGGCUGGGUUGAAAACCCGGAGUUUUCUCUUUUGUUCUAGACUUUUGAGAUUUAUGGUUUUUCCCUGCAAGUAGUCCGGAUUUUGCAGUUGUGAACUAAGCACUAGAGAAUCUGUCCCUAGCGCACCUAUCCUUCAAACUGGGUAUUUAUUGUGUCACAGGGCAGUAUGACUGCCAGAUUUCAACAUAGCUGUGGCUGUCUUCGCACCAAUUUUUGCUAAGGUGUUGAAAGCUUUGAAAAUAAGGCCUUUGGGACUAAGCGGUGAGCGGAGCAAAGAUCAGAGUUUGAACUUGUUUGGAGGUCUUGUGUUGCUGAAUAAACGGACCGACAUUUUUGUAUGGGGCAUCAUUUCUAAACCCACCGUGUCUGUAGAAAUCAAGCAUAAGGAGCAAGUUCAAUCUAGCAGGUCGUCUGAUCAGAAAUAGCUGUGAAGAACAGAGGUAUUUGCAGCAACAGCUCUUGGGAUUUCUAGAAGGAAUGAGUUCGGAUAAAUAUUAAAUCUCCAUUUUGUCUUAAUGCCAGUGAUGGAGAAUGAAUGACAUUAUGGAAAUGUGAAAUGCUUUCCUCUACCAUCUUGAGCCCAGGCUCUUGCAACAAUUCAGCUUCUGCCAACUUCUCUUCAUUCAUUUGCUGAUCUCAGCCAAGCCCUUGUAGAGCUGGGUAACGGUGUUAUUUGCAUGGGAGGUGAAGAUGAUGUAGAGAUGGGUGUCAUAUGUGUACUGCUGACAAGUCAGUCCAUGGUGCCACUGAAUAUUCUCUACAGGCUUUAUAUAGAUAUUGAACAGGCUGGGUGAGGGGAAAGAAUUUCAUGUUAUUCAGCAGGUGGGAAAGGUUUUGGAGGUUAAGGAAAGAGCAAGUGUUUAUCAUAAAUCUCUUGAGCUUACUGGAGAUUGAUGUAAGGGAUGUCUGAAGAUGUAUCAGCUCAGUUCCAAAGGGCUCUGGACAGACAUUUAUUUUCAAACAGCUGAGCUGGCUGGAGAUCUUACAGCCAUUCCAGAUGCUUGCUACCAACCCUCUGCUGAUGGUUGCCAUACCUGUUGCUCUGCUGUUAGAAAAGGUAGUCUAAAGUCUUCCUGAUCUGUUCGGUGAAGUCACUCAGAUAGCUGAAAGUGCUGAUAAAGGUGGUGUUAUUUAACACAGCUGAAAUUGCAUUACCUUUAAAAGAGAGAACGUUCACUUUACUGUGAGUUUUGGAAAGGAGAGAAAGGAGAAAAGAAGGCCUCAGCCUAUCCUGCAGAGCAUUCCCACAGCCCCAGGCAGCUCUUGCAUUGCCUCCUGCAGGCCUGAAGAUGGGCAAGGCAUGUGUGUGGGGCUGGGUACAUCUUCUGGAACAGGCAAUGUAGCUGCUGUUUGGGGUUUGCUUUUAUGAGUGAACAUGUGCUCGGAUAUUUUGUAUAGAUCUUGUGCUUAAAAUAUAUGCAAAGUGCUUGUUUCUUACAUGAGUGACUGAAAUGAUGUAUGUGGAGAUGUGUCAGCCUCCUACGGGGUCAGGUAACCUCAUGUGGCCAAAGCUCAGGUAACCAAGAGUUUGUUAUUAUCCAAGUUUUCUACCAGAGCUCAUAUAAGAAAUUGUUAUUAAUUAGUAUAUUAACACCACUAUGGUUAAAGCUGAACCAGCAAGUUACAAUAAAAUGCUUAAGUUGGGGCAAAGAAGAAAGCUCAUGCACUCGGGUGUUCAUUCAGGAAUGGGAGGAAUGGGAAGAACUGGGAUGAAAGCCUGUGGGUGUUUUUAAGAGAUCCUGGAAUUCUUGCAGGUUUUCCAGAUCCAAAACCACAGAACUGCUGGAGAUUCCUUGACGUGUACACGGGCAAAACAGAGCAAGCAAGAGUACUGGUCAUCCUUGCUGGCCAUUCUGUUUCUGAACUGGGCCAGAAUGAAGCAUCCUACCUUAACAACAGUCCAAAACUCUGCUGGAAUUUGGACUAGCAUCCAAACUCAAGGCACAGGCUCUUCUCUAAAUAAAAAUAACUCAAUCACAAGCUAUUUUGGGGUGGUGACUUUCAGACAAGAAAUGUAGGGCUUACACAGGUUUUUACUUCUGUCAAAUACAUCUGGAUGCUGUACUCCUUCCUGCCGAUACUCUGAACUUGCUCUCUUCAGCUCAGAGCCAAAGAACUCCAACUGAAAGCUAGAAAUGGUAGAACAACUGAUGUUACUCAAGGUAAACAGCAGGGUUUUUUUGGUGGUUUAUUUAUUCCACAGAGGAUAUUCUGCUACUCUGGUUGCUGCUGAUGCUGAUAAAAUUUCUGUCAUGGCCUGUGAUGAACAGCAUGCAAUGUUGGUUCAAGAUAAGAGCCAAAAGCGUGUCAAAGAGUCUUCUCCAAAUAGGAAUCCCCAUAGAUCUGGCUUUUUUGACAGGGUGGUAGUUAACGAAACUGCCACACCUGGCACCAUUGACAUUGCUGCCAAAACUGUCCGUCACCAUCCUCUCCCCUUCCCACAGCACCCAGUAACAAAUCUGUUUUUUCCUGUUUGCUUGGAUAUACCUGGUAUUAUGAUAGGAACAGUUCCCGUUCAUGAAGAAUGAGGUGGGAUACAGCGAGUUGUAAGGGACAGGAAGCAAAGGAGGAAGCGGUGUGCUGGGCUAUUGUUGUUAAUGGCACUAAGCAGCAAGUGCUAAAGCAUGUUUUACAUCAGUGCGAGCACUGCUGUGUAUGAUGUCCUACUGGGAGUGCCUGCACUGUGUGCAGCAGAUGGGCAGCAGGAGAGUUUCACUGCUGGGUUCUGAGGUAAGAGUGUUUCCUACCUCAGGAGCUCCAAGCAGUCUAUGAACUUCAGUUGAUUUAAAGCUUUGGACCUUCAAAAUAAUUAUCCGGUUGUAUCCCAGAGCAAGGCAUAUUUGCUGAAGAUGUCAUAGGAAGUUUUCAGCUGUGCCAAGUGUAUAAACUAGAUCUUCUGACUCAUAGAUCUAGGGUUUAAUUGAAGGAGUUUUCUUCCUCUUUACAUAGCUACCCUGCCUUCUCUUUGAUAUUAUCCCACCCUCCCCUAAUCACUGGGUGACAUCUGAUCCCUAUGACUCUUCUAUAACCUUCAAGGUCUAUUGUAUUGGGUCCAAGAUCUUGUGUUUUAUUUCUGGCUGUUCUAAUUUUGAGUCCAUCCCUGCAAUUCCAGGGGGCUCACCCCUAAACUGGCUGCAAGCCCUUGGGAAGCAGGGUGCCCCUUGGUGGUACAUCUCACUGUGGAGCAGAGAUUUUCCUGAACCAGUCACUGUCCUCCACUAAACCCUGGUGCAGAGGAUGGCUAUUGCCUCCCACGUGCUUCCUGCAAUUUCUGCUUAAGUAUAGUAUUCUUUGCUGCCUCUCUGCAGUUGGAAUGUAAAGCUGCUUUCUGUAGAUUUAAAGUCGCUUCCUCCUCUGAAGUGGCUUUAUUUUAGUGCUCAGCUCAGUGAUUCCUACACAGUACUUAACCCAGCAGGUAUCUGAAGUCCAAAUACUUUAUUUAGAUCUAAGUUAACGCAUAACAUUGCUUCUAUCAAUAUCAUUAGAUUUUCUUGUGUCUUUAAACUCAGUGUUCUUGAGUCACUUUCUCUUUUUUCCCUCUCGUCAAAGGAUUUCCAAUUUGCAGUUUGGGCUACGGAUGUAAAGGACCAAAUCCUGCACUAGUUUAAGUCUGUAAGAGCCAUGGAACUACGUCCAUGCACGUGAGAACACAGGAUGCUGAAAUCAUUCCACCAUUUUGAAAAGCACACGGUCUAGAGGACUGAUGCUGAGAGAUGUCGUUUAGGAUUAUCUAAUUCCUGAACCUGUAAAUCCUGAUGUAAAUAUAGCUUUUCCCCUGGCUAUACACUUUUAGUGGUGAAGAGAUUCUUUAAAAAAAUAAUAAUAAAAAAUUAGAUGUUAGAUGCUGUGCAUCCAGAGCCCCUUACUGGAGUUAUAACACCUUCUUAACAGCAUUGUAC